rnacentral:rRNA from 1 species
AUUGAACGCUGGCGGCAGGCCUAACACAUGCAAGUCGAGCGGAGCGGCGGACGGGUGAGUAAUGCCUAGGAAUCUGCCUGGUAGUGGGGGAUAACGUCCGGAAACGGGCGCUAAUACCGCAUCUUAUCAGAUGAGCCUAGCUCGGAUUAGCUAGUUGGGGGGGUAAAGGCCUACCAAGGCGACGAUCCGUAACUGGUCGGAGAGGAUGAUCAGUCACACGGGAACUGAGACACGGUCCAGACUCCUACGGGAGGCAGCAGUGGGGAAUAUUGGACAAUGGGCGAAAGCCUGAUACAGCCAUGCCGCGUGUGUGAAGAAGGUCUUCGGUUUGUAAAGCACUUUAAGUUGGGAGGCGUUACCGACAGAAGAAGCACCGGCUAACUUCGUGCCAGCAGCCGCGGUAAUAC